AUUGAACGCUGGCGGCAUGCCUUACACAUGCAAGUCGAACGGUAACAGGUCUUCGGAUGCUGACGAGUGGCGAACGGGUGAGUAAUACAUCGGAACGUGCCCGAGAGUGGGGGAUAACGAGGCGAAAGCUUUGCUAAUACCGCAUACGAUCUCAGGAUGAAAGCAGGGGACCGCAAGGCCUUGCGCUCACGGAGCGGCCGAUGGCAGAUUAGGUAGUUGGUGGGAUAAAAGCUUACCAAGCCGACGAUCUGUAGCUGGUCUGAGAGGACGACCAGCCACACUGGGACUGAGACACGGCCCAGACGCCUACGGGAGGCAGCAGGGGGGAAUUUUGGACAAUGGGAGCAAGCCUGAUCCAGCCAUGCCGCGUGCAGGAUGAAGGCCUUCGGGUUGUAAACUGCUUUUGUACGGAACGAAAAGACUCUGGUUAAUACCUGGGGUCCAUGACGGUACCGUAAGAAUAAGCACCGGCUAACUACGUGCCAGCCGCCGCCGUAA
rnacentral:rRNA from 1 species